UUUUUUUUUUAGACAAGGUGGAAACGUCCAAAUGAGAAAAUGAAUUCAAGCACUCUGUGUAAGUAUAUGUAAAAUGUCUAACUUUAUUCCAAAUACAUUAAAAAUCAUUCAUGCGGACUACAAAAAAAACAUUUAAAACUACCAACACGUUUUAGAUGAUACCAUUGUCUUGACUUUUAAAGAAUUUUUUUUUUCUUUUUUUUUUUUUGUAGUUUGCAUGAAUAAUUUUUAAAUAGUACCACUCAUGAUCUCCCAGUUCACUGCCCCCAUCAUGAUAAACCACUCCCUGCCUAUAUUUUUAUUAUUUGGGGUAAAUUUAACAAAAUCAUGUAGGUUAAAAAAAAAAAAUUAAAAAAAAAUAAAAAUGUAAGUAUAGGUAUGCUUUAAAACAGGUCUUUGUUAAGAAUCUAGGAGCUAACAAAGUAAGUUAGGAGCCAGGAUGCCGCAUAUCACGCAAUGUGAAGUCACGCAACGUGACGUUAUAUGACCAGUCAUUAGUGUCCCUUCAUUUCUUCCUGUGUCACAGUCAUUACUGUCCCCUCAUCUCCCCCCUGUGUGUCACAGUUAUUACUGUACCCUCAACUACUCCCCUGUGUGUCACUGUCAUUAUUGUUUCUUCAUCUCUCCCUGGGUGUUAGUGGUUAGGGUCCCCUCAUCUCCCACCCAUAUGUCAGUUAUUACUGUCCUCUCAUCUCCCCCGUGUGUCACAGUUAUUACUGUACCCUCAUCUACUCCCCUGUGUGUCACUGUCAUUAUUGUUUCCUCAUCUCUCCCUGGGUGUUUGUAGUUAGGGUCCCCUCAUCUCCCACCCAUAUGUCAGUUAUUACUGUCCUCUCAUCUCCCCCGUGUGUCACAGUUAUUACUGUACCCUCAUCUACUCCCCUGUGUGUCACUGUCAUUAUUGUUUCCUCAUCUCUCCCUGGGUGUUUGUAGUUAGGGUCCCCUCAUCUCCCACCCAUAUGUCAGUUAUUACUGUCCUCUCAUCUCUCCCCUGUGUUUCACAGUUAUUACUGUACCCUCAUCUACUCCCCUGUGUGCCACUGUUAUUAUUGUUCCCUCAUCUCUCCCUGUGUGUCAGUUAUUAAUGUCCCCUCAUCUCCUCCCUGUGUAUCACAGUCAUAAGUUUCUUAUUUGUUAAGAAAAAAAUAACAAACAGUAUUAGGCUGCAUUCACAUCAUGUUUAUGCACUAUGGCUGCCGGAUCCGGGUGGGAAAUUUCAAAACCGGGCGCUCCCAUAUCUGGCGCCAAAACCCAUUCACUUUAAUGAGCCGACCGGAGUCAGAUAGUGACUUUGGUUGGCGCUUCAGUGUCACCACUGAGGUCGCUGAUUGCCUGCGGUGGUCACUUGACACUGUAACAACAGAGCGCUAAGGUCGGACAUUUCUGAAGAUCUGAACUAUCAGGAGGUUGAUGGGGAACAUCAAUAAGGAGCUCUCAAAACCAAUCAUGACCUCUUGCCAGCAGGGUCAGUAGGCACUCCCCAAAACAUGAUACUAGUCAACAUGGUGCACAGGAGCAGAGAAAAGCAGCAGGAUACUCUCUGGACCCGGGUGAAAGGGCUUCUGGGAGAGCGACUGAAUACUGAAUACCAG